GAUGAACGCUGGCGGCGUGCCUAAUACAUGCAAGUCGAGCGAACAGACGAGGAGCUUGCUCCUCUGACGUUAGCGGCGGACGGGUGAGUAACACGUGGAUAACCUACCUAUAAGACUGGGAUAACUUCGGGAAACCGGAGCUAAUACCGGAUAAUAUAUUGAACCGCAUGGUUCAAUAGUGAAAGACGGUUUUGCUGUCACUUAUAGAUGGGUCCGCGCCGCAUUAGCUAGUCGGUAAGGUAACGGCUUACCAAGGCAACGAUGCGUAGCCGACCUGAGAGGGUGAUCGGCCACACUGGAACUGAGACACGGUCCAGACUCCUACGGGAGGCAGCAGUAGGGAAUCUUCCGCAAUGGGCGAAAGCCUGACGGAGCAACGCCGCGUGAGUGAUGAAGGUCUUCGGAUCGUAAAACUCUGUUAUUAGGGAAGAACAAAUGUGUAAGUAACUAUGCACGUCUUGACGGUACCUAAUCAGAAAGCCACGGCUAACUACGUG
rnacentral:rRNA from 1 species